GAUGAACGCUGGCGGCGUGCUUAACACAUGCAAGUCGAACGAAGUCCAUGGAGCUUGCUCCGGAAGACUUAGUGGCGAACGGGUGCGUAACACGUGAGAAACCUGCCCCGGACUUUGGGAUAACAGUUGGAAACGACUGCUAAUACCGAAUACCACCAUUUCCUCGCAUGGGGAGAUGUUGAAAGGUCCGCCGGUCCGGGAGGGUCUCACGGCCUAUCAGCUUGUUGGAGAGGUAACGGCUCACCAAGGCAUCGACGGGUAGCUGGUCUGAGAGGAUGAUCAGCCACACUGGGACUGAGACACGGCCCAGACUCCUACGGGAGGCAGCAGUGGGGAAUCUUGCACAAUGGGCGCAAGCCUGAUGCANCAACGCCNCNUGCGGGAAGAAGGCCCNAGGGUUGU
rnacentral:rRNA from 1 species